rnacentral:rRNA from 1 species
UACGUAGGGUGCGAGCGUUGUCCGGAAUUAUUGGGCGUAAAGAGCUUGUAGGCGGUUUGUCGCGUCUGCCGUGAAAAUUCGAGGCUCAACCUCGAACUUGCGGUGGGUACGGGCAGACUAGAGUGUGGUAGGGGAGACUGGAAUUCCUGGUGUAGCGGUGAAAUGCGCAGAUAUCAGGAGGAACACCGGUGGCGAAGGCGGCUUGCUGGGCCUUACCUGACGCUGAGGAGCGAAAGCGUGGGGAGCGAACAGG